rnacentral:rRNA from 1 species
GAUGAACGCUGGCGGCGUGCCUAACACAUGCAAGUCGAACGAGCGAGAGAUGAAACCUAGUGAUUCUCAAGCGAGUGGCGGACGGGUGAGUAACGCGUGGGUAACCUGCCUUACAGAGGGGGAUAACAGUCUGAAAAGACUGCUAAUACCGCAUAAGCACACAGUACCGCAUGGUACAGGGUGAAAAGAUUUAUCACUGUAAGAUGGACCCGCGUCUGAUUAGCCAGUUGGCAGGGUAACGGCCUACCAAAGCGACGAUCAGUAGCCGACCUGAGAGGGUGAUCGGCCACAUUGGGACUGAGACACGGCCCAGACUCCUACGGGAGGCAGCAGUGGGGGAUAUUGCACAAUGGAGGAAACUCUGAUGCAGCGACGCCGCGUGAGUGAAGAAGUUUUCGGUAUGUAAAGCUCUUCAGCAGGGAAGAGAAUG